rnacentral:tRNA from 1 species
GGAGGCGUCAGAGUGCCUGGUGGGCUCCGCGGUCUUCAAAACCGUUGAGGGGCUGAAAAGUCCCUGGUGGGUUCGAUUCCCAUCCGCCUCCG